GUCGCUUUGCCGGAGUGGUUAACGGGAUCGCCUGCUAUAUUAUAUUGCCAGCGGUUGCACAUUGUGCGCGAGUGUUCGAAUCGCUCAGGCGACG